rnacentral:misc_RNA from 1 species
AACGCAACUUGCACUCUACUCUCGUAGAGUAUGCCUGUUUGAGUGUCGUUUUAAUCUACUCAACCCAAAAGUGGGACUUGUUUCCUGCUUUUGCUGUGUUGGAAUCGAGAUGUUUACCUGGUUCUUUACCGAACUGCGUCUCUCAAAGAUUAUAGUUUCUUGUCUCGGGCAAGUUUCUUCAUACUUGUAAUUCUUGCCGAACGUGCGAUAAAUAAUCUCACAAUUAGCCGAGAUUCAGGUUUGAUGGAAGCUGUCCACUUAUAGACGAGCAAAACCCAAUUUAUUAAAGAAGGAUUCGUCCCUCUUGAAUAACUCGACCUCAAAUCAGGCAAGAUUACCGGCUGAACUUAA